rnacentral:rRNA from 1 species
AGCGAACGCUGGCGGCAGGCCUAACACAUGCAAGUCGAGCGCUCGUAGCAAUACGAGAGCGGCAGACGGGAGAGUAACACGUGGGAACGUACCCUUCAGUUCGGAACAACCCAGGGAAACUUGGGCUAAUACCGGAUACGUCCGUAAGGAGAAAGAUUUAUCGCUGAAGGAUCGGCCCGCGUCUGAUUAGCUUGUUGGUGAGGUAACGGCUCACCAAGGCGACGAUCAGUAGCUGGUCUGAGAGGAUGAUCAGCCUCACUGGGACUGAGACACGGCCCAGACUCCUACGGGAGGCAGCAGUGGGGAAUAUUGGACAAUGGGCGCAAGCCUGAUCCAGCCAUGCCGCGUGGGUGAUGAAGGCCCUAGGGUUGUAAAGCCCUUUCGGCGGGGAAGAUAAUGACGGUACCCGCAGAAGAAGCCCCGGCUAACUUCGUGCCAGCCGCCGCAGUAACAC